CCCAGGCUAAUACCGCAUACGUCCUACGGGAGAAAGGGGGCUCCGGCUCCCGCUAUUGGAUGAGCCUAUGUCGGAUUAGCUAGUUGGUGAGGUAAAGGCUCACCAAGGCAACGAUCCGUAGCUGGUCUGAGAGGAUGAUCAGCCACAUCGGGACUGAGACACGGCCCGAACUCAUACGGGAGGCAGCAGUGGGGAAUAUUGGACAAUGGGGGCAACCCUGAUCCAGCCAUGCCGCGUAUGUGAAGAAGGCCUUCGGGUUGUAAAGCACUUUCAGCGAGGAAGAACGCCUAGUGGUUAAUACCCAUUAGGAAAGACAUCACUCGCAGAAGAAGCACCGGCUAACUCCGUGCCAGCAGCCGCGGUAAUACGGAGGGUGCAAGCGUUAAUCGGAAUUACUGGGCGUAAAGCGCGCGUAGGUGGCUUGAUAAGCCGGUUGUGAAAGCCCCGGGCUCAACCUGGGAACGGCAUCCGGAACUGUCAAGCUAGAGUGCAGGAGAGGAAGGUAGAAUUCCCGGUGUAGCGGUGAAAUGCGUAGAGAUCGGGAGGAAUACCAGUGGCGAAGGCGGCCUUCUGGACUGACACUGACACUGAGGUGCGAAAGCGUGGGUAGCAAACAGGAUUAGAUACCCUGGUAGUCCACGCCGUAAACGAUGUCGACCAGCCGUUGGGUGCCUAGCGCACUUUGUGGCGAAGUUAACGCGAUAAGUCGACCGCCUGGGGAGUACGGCCGCAAGGUUAAAACUCAAAUGAAUUGACGGGGGCCCGCACAAGCGGUGGAGCAUGUGGUUUAAUUCGAUGCAACGCGAAGAACCUUACCUACUCUUGACAUCCUGCGAACUUGUGAGAGAUCACUUGGUGCCUUCGGGAACGCAGAGACAGGUGCUGCAUGGCUGUCGUCAGCUCGUGUUGUGAAAUGUUGGGUUAAGUCCCGUAACGAGCGCAACCCUUGUCCUUAUUUGCCAGCACGUAAUGGUGGGAACUCUAAGGAGACUGCCGGUGACAAACCGGAGGAAGGUGGGGACGACGUCAAGUCAUCAUGGCCCUUACGAGUAGGGCUACACACGUGCUACAAUGGCCGGUACAAAGGGUUGCCAACUCGCGAGAGUGAGCUAAUCCCGAAAAGCCGGUCUCAGUCCGGAUCGGAGUCUGCAACUCGACUCCGUGAAGUCGGAAUCGCUAGUAAUCGUGAAUCAGAAUGUCACGGUGAAUACGUUCCCGGGCCUUGUACA
rnacentral:rRNA from 1 species